rnacentral:misc_RNA from 1 species
AAACCCCUCUUACCAGUUAGGUAGGGACUUGUCGUUAGGGUGUGCUUCGGUGCAUCCCUCGACUAAAAGCAGUAGGCUUGAUCAGGCUAGUGGCCUGGGACAUUGUGUGCUAGAGACGUCGCUUCGGCUGACUGUCUUCUCACGAUGCGUCCUAGGCUAUUCAAGCUAGCUUGAUUUUGGCCUCUACAGUGAGUGCUACCCUCGGGUAGUGCCUACAACCCCAUA